rnacentral:rRNA from 1 species
CAAGCGUUACUCGGAAUUACUGGGCGUAAAGCGUGCGCAGGCGGUGAUGUAAGACAGUUGUGAAAUCCCCGGACUCAACCUGGGAACUGCAUCUGUGACUGCAUCGCUGGAGUGCGGCAGAGGGGGAUGGAAUUCCGCGUGUAGCAGUGAAAUGCGUAGAUAUGCGGAGGAACACCGAUGGCGAAGGCAAUCCCCUGGGCCUGCACUGACGCUCAUGCACGAAAGCGUGGGGAGCAAACAGG